ACGCUCGACACCUACGGAGGCAGCAGUGGGGAAUAUUGCACAAUGGGGGAAACCCUGAUGCAGCGACGCCGCGUGAGUGAAGAAGUAUUUCGGUAUGUAAAGCUCUAUCAGCAGGGAAGAAGAUGACGGUACCUGAGUAAGAAGCCCCGGCUAACUACGUGCCCGGCAGCCGCGGUAAUCUGAGCGGGCUGGCAAGGC
rnacentral:rRNA from 1 species